UAACUAAGGGGACCCAACAAAGUGGUUUACUAAUGGAAGGUACUAACUAAGGGGAUCCUACAAAGGGAUAUACUAAUGGAAGGUACUAACUAAGGGGACCCUACAAAGUGGUUUACUAAUGGAAGGUACUAACUAGGGGGACCCAACAAAGUGGUUUACUGAUGGAAGGUACUAACUAAGGGGAUCCUACAAAGUGGUUUACUAAUGGAAAGUACUAACUAAGGGGCCCCUACAAAGUGGUUU